AUUGAACGCUGGCGGCAGGCCUAACACAUGCAAGUCGAACGAGUGGCGGACGGGUGAGUAAUGUCUGGGCAACUGCCCGAUGGAGGGGGAUAACUACUGGAAACGGUAGCUACUACCGCAUUCCAUCGGAUGUGCCCAGAUGGGAUUAGCUAGUAGGGGGGGUAACGGCUCACCUAGGCGACGAUACCUAGCGGGUCUGAGAGGAUGAACAGCCACCCUGGAACUGGGACACGGCCCAGACUCCUCCGGUAGGCGGCAGUGGGGAAUAUUGCACAAGGGGAGCAAGCCUGACGCGGCCAUGCCGCGUGGAUGAAGAAGGCCUUCGGGUUGUAAAGUACUUUUAGCGAGAAGGCGGUACUCGAAGAAGAAGCACCGGCUAACUCCGUGCCAGCAGCCGCGGUAAUAC
rnacentral:rRNA from 1 species